CCUACGGGGUGCUGCAGUGAGGAAUAUUGGUCAAUGGACGGAAGUCUGAACCAGCCAUGCCGCGUGCAGGAAGACGGCUCUAUGAGUUGUAAACUGCUUUUGUACAAGGGUAAACCUGAAUACGUGUAUUCAGCUGACAGUACUGUACGAAUAAGGAUCGGCUAACUCCGUGCCAGCAGCCGCGGUAAUACGGAGGAUCCAAGCGUUAGCCGGAUUUAUUGGGUGUAACGGGUGCGUAGGCGGAUUGAUAAGUUAGAGGUGAAAUGUCCGAGCUUAACUCGGGAACUGCCUCUAAUACUGUUGAUCUAGAGAGUAGAUGCGGUAGGCGGAAUGUAUGGUGUAGCGGGGAAAUGCUUAGAGAUCAUACAGAACACCGAUUGCGAAGGCAGCUUACCAAUCUAUAUCUGACGUUGAGGCACGAAAGCGUGGGGAGCAAACAGGAUUAGAUACCCUUGUAGUC
rnacentral:rRNA from 1 species